GGGCGAUUGGCGCAGUGGUAGCGCGCUUCGUUCACACCGAAGAGGUCACUGGUUCGAGCCCAGUAUCGCCCACCA
rnacentral:tRNA from 1 species